rnacentral:lncRNA from 1 species
UUAACACAAUAUCAUUCUGGAAGGUGCCGGAGCUGCACUGUGGCGCGAAAAGGACGAAGGAUGGUGUGGAUUGAAAUUUACGCCAUGCACGAUGCAUGUGUCAUUCAUAUAUUUCAUAUAUAUGCUGGAAUCGACCAUCAGGUGCUUCUCCUCUGCCAGGUUGCAAAGGACACAUGCCCUGGAGACUUACAGGACUCUGUCCGCAUUUACCUCAGGAUGUCGACCGAGUCUGUAGUCAGCUGCAUCAGCGAGCUGACUAUCAUCCACGUCAUGAACAACUUCGCCACGCGUAGACGUGACCCUCACAAUCCAAGUAACCCCAUAAGUCUUAUAAACUGUAACGAAACUAGCCGGUAAGCGAAGCAAUCCCUGUUAAGCCUCCUGCAUCCGGCCAGUGUUUUUUAUGUUUGUGGUGUUCACACAGGUUUAAAAAACUUUUCUUGCAGCCCUACGCCCACGGUCUUGGAAUGAUUCGAACCCCCAGCAGCGUGUCCAACGAUCCAAGGAGAAUUAGCAGGUUGCAUCUCUAAACCUGCGCCAAAAUCUUGCGUGUGAUUUACCUCGGCUGAGGCUGACGGCGCGGGGAUUGAUCGAUCGUGUAAAAUG